ensembl:lncRNA
GUGACCUAAAGCAACAGCCAUUUUAUUGCAUUUCAUUCCUCUGUGGGUCAGAAAUCUGAGCAGGGCUUUGCUGGGUAGUCCCUUUAUUCCAAGUAGGGUCGACGGAGGUCACUGAAAGGGAUUCAGAUGGUGGAUGGGUUGGUCUGGAGGAUUCAAUUAAAACAAAACAAAACAGUGGAAUCCAACAGGGAAUACUGGAAGGUAGGGCUCAGCUGGUACCAUGACCAGAGGAUGACCAGAGGCCACACACAAGUGGCCUUUCUAGUAUGGCAGUCUCAAGUUAGCUGAACUUUUUACAUGGCAGCAUGGGGCUAGCAGAGAGAAUAUUCCAAGAGACCCCAGUGGAAAAUGCACGGUUCCUUAUGGCUCAACUUAGAAAAUCCUAGACUAUCACUUCUUCCAUAUUCUAUAGUUAAGUAAGCCACUGAGGCCAACUCCUUCAAGAGUAAGGAACAAGAGUACUUCUCAAUGGGAAGAGAGCAAAGAACAUGUGGCCAACUUUAAUCUACAUACACCUAGACCAACCGAUGGAGCGCCUGGGACUCAACAACUAUUCUUAGACUUUCUACAUCAACAAUCUUGGAACACUUAAGGCUGGAUGGACAAUAUUUACUUCUGCAAUGUGUUCUGGUCUUCUACCAAUGGAAAAUCAAAUUCCCAGCUUUGAGCAGUUGGAUUCCUGUGGUAUGUGGCUGCCCCACAUCUUCUUCUGCUAAGCCAUUAUAACCAAAAAGUCUUUUUUUUUUGGCGGGGGGUUGGGGGGAUGGAGUCUCAUUCUGUCACCCAGGCUGGAGUGCAGUGGCCCGAUCUCAGCUCACUGCAACCUCCACCUCCCAGGUUGAAGCGAUUCUCGGGCGUCAGCCUCCCAAGUAGCUGGGAUUACAGGCGCCCGCCACAAAGCCAGGCUAAUUUUUGUAUUUUUUUGUGGAGAUGGGGUUUCAUCAGAUGUUGGCCAGGCUGGUCUUGAACUUCUGACCUCAGGUGAUCUGCCUGCCUCGGCCUCCCAAAGUGCUGGGAUUACAGGCCUGAGGCAGGAAAAUCGCUUGAAACCAGGAGGCGGAGGUUGCAGUGAGCCGAAAUCGCGCCUCUGCACUCCAGCCUGGGCAACAGAGGGAGACUCUGUCUCAAAAAGGAAGAAAGAAGAAGAAAAAAGUACUUCUAUAACACAGUUCUCCCUCCUUGUUUCAUUUGCAGAAGAGACCAAAGGGCCAAGGCUUCUUCCCUUAGAAACAGCCAUAUGUUCUACGAUUCCGAGAUUUUUGCCUAUCCAGGGCACCAGUUUGGAGUGGGUGUAAGGUUACCCACAAAUCAAUGUGAUCGUCCAGUUGUUACUGUUCCUUUUGUUUCACGAGACGUUCGCUCAUUAGAUGAGGUGACUGAUAGCUCUGACUUUUUUAAGACCACACGCACUCUAGGUGGCUGCCCUAAGUACAGUCGCGGCAGCUGGGAUUUCCUGUUUAUAUGGUGCCCAGCACCAUCAGCUUUUGUCUUCUGCUGCAGCUAAAGUGUCUUCCUCCUGGACCAGGGAGAGGGGGAGGGGGUGCGGACAGGACCCGCCUGCUGACGGUGACACCUCCUCGACAUCAUGUCCACUCCAGUCCUCAGCUCCCGGAGCUGCGCGGGAUCCCUCUUCCCGCUCAGCUGGGAGAUGCCCCGGGAGGGCGUCCCCCGGCUCCGGGCUGCGAGGGUAGCAGCCGACCCCGAUCCACUCCGGGGAUAGCCCGGGGCCGCGUGAAGGCAGGUGUUCCGGGGAGAAACGAGGAAGUAAGGCGCGGUCAGGGGCCGGCGGCGCUCGGCUGGGGGCCGCAGUUGGCUCCCCCGGGAACUCUGGGCAGGCGGCCUCUCCCGCUUGUGGGG